GUUCGAUCACUUCUUUUAAAUAAGGGGAAAAGAGAAGACAAUAGAAAAUAAGAAAAAAGAGAAAUGCACGGCGGUUGUCAUGGUGGAGGAGGCGGCGCUUGAGGUAGAGAUUGGAGAAAAAAGGGGAGGAAAGAUGCGGCAAGGUAGUCACUUGACGGUGAGGUGGUGGUAGUGCAAGGCUAGUUACGAUGGAGGAGAAGAGAAAAAAAAAUAAAGAGGAGAAUGAAGUCUAACCAAAAAGAGAGAAAAAAAUGAAAAAAUGAGAGGUUAGGGAGGAGCUAAUGGUGGGACGGCAAUGAGAGGGAGGGUAUGUCAAAUUGGGUGAGAAGUAUGGUGAUCAACUAUGAAUUGGUUCAUUGAACCUCAC
rnacentral:lncRNA from 1 species